UGCGUCGGUGGUCUAGGGGUAUGACUUGGGCCUUCCAAGCCUACUGCCCGGGUUCAAAUCCCGGCCGACGCAUC
rnacentral:tRNA from 1 species